UGUCUUUCUCUACCUUGUCCAUGUGAGGACCCAGCAAGAAUGUGGAUGUGUGCAAGCCAGGAAGAGAGUCCUCACCAGAAAACCUCCAUGCUGACAUCUAGAACUUAGACUUCCAGAACAACACGAGCAACGGGAGGUGCAGAAGAUGAAGCAAUACGCCUAUAGUUGCAGAGCUAGUAAGUGGUGGAGUUGGGAUUUGAAACUGGGCUGUCUAGCUCCAAGGUGCAAGAUCAAACAGCCAAUUUCACGUGUAUGAAAUUAGAACCACUGUGGCAACAUGAACUUGAGAGUUUUUCCCUAAGUCAAGGUGUGUCAUGGCCAAGAGAAACUUGAAGCUCCCGAAGGCUGCAUUAA